rnacentral:lncRNA from 1 species
AUGUGAAUGUGAAAGAUGAAGAGGGUAGGGCUCUACUUCACUGGGCCUGUGAUCGAGGACAUAAGGAACUAGUCACAGUGUUGCUGCAACAUAGAGCUGACAUUAACUGUCAGGUACCAGCUCAGCCACAAUGGGCUAGAACGCCAAGCGGGCUGUUGGGGUGCCUGAUUCCAUGCCUAGGCUCUUGGACAGCUUUGGACCAGACAAGCCUUGGAUAGCCUUCUGGACUUGUCGUGGGCCAGAGGGGAGCCCACUGCCCUGAAGGGACAAUGAAGGCCAAACAGCUCUACAUUAUGCCUCUGCCUGUGAGUUUCUGGAUAUUGUAGAGCUGCUGCUCCAGUCUGGUGCUGACCCCACUCUCCGAGACCAGGAUGGCUGCCUGCCAGAGGAGGUGACAGGCUGCAAAACAGUUUCUUUGGUGCUGCAGCGGCACACAACUGGCAAGGCUUAAUCAAAAGACUGGAAAACUGCAGUCUGUAAUAGCAUAAGGCUUCCAUUAUGAAAGAAAACUACAAAAAUAAUACUUCUUUUCCACCCGUCUUUGGGUCUCGCUAUGUCACCCAGGCUGAAGUGCAGUGGUAUGAUCAUGGUUCACUACAGCCUCAACCUCCUGGGCUCAAGGAAUCCUCCCACCUCAGCCUCCUGUGUAGCUGAGAUAGCUGGGACUACAGGUGCGUGCCACCACACCCCACUAAUUUUUGUAUCUUUUGUACAGAUAGGGUCUCUCUGUGUUCCUCAGGGUGGUCUCAAACUCCUGGCCUCAAGCAGUUUUCAGGCCUCUUAAAGUGCUGAGAUUACAGGUGUGAGCCACUGUGCCCAGCCAGGUAUGCCACUCUUGAAACUGGCUCCCAACAUUUUCCCUGUAAGCCCCAAAAGCUCCAUCUGGGGAAUUCACUGACUUUUACUAUUAUAUAAGGAAAGUAGAUAGUUGACAUAGGAAGAGAAAUGAAAUAAAAAAUGAGUU